CUUGAAUCAUUACUUCACCUGCGCCGAGUUUGGUGCAAAUAAAAUUGGAGACAUAAAAUUACCGUUUUAUGUAUCCGAAGAUAUGAAUAUCCGCAAACACCCGGUCGUAGGAUUAUUUGGCAGAACCUCUAAUCCUUCCCUCCAUUCGUUUAGUUCUUUUGGUUUGCUCUUCUUUAGGUGCUGUGCAGUUUUAAAUGGUGCAUGCAUCGUUACUUCGUGGGAAUGCUGUUCUGAAUUCGACCUUAAUCACCAUCCUUGAUAAAUGCAAGUCAUUGUUAGAGCUGAAGCAAAUUCAUGCUCUGGUGAUCACUUUAGGUCUCUCCCAAGAUGAGCCUUUUGUGUCUAGAAUUCUUUCCUUCUCCGCACUAUCUGAUUCAGCAAACAUCGAUUACUCCUACCGGGUUCUUUUAUCUCUCUCAAACCCAACAAUCUUCAAUUGUAACAAAGUCAUGAGAGGAUAUUCGAAGAGCAAAUACCCAAAUAAAUCAGUAUCGGUUUUUGUUAAAAUGUUACGGGUUGGAAUCUUGCCUGACUAUUUAACAUUCCCUUUUCUUGCCAAGGCAUCAGCUGGUCUCUUGAAUCGAGAACUCGGUAUGGCCUUUCAUGCCCAUAUUAUAAAAGCUGGGUAUGAAUCUGAUAGGUUUGUUUCGAAUUCUUUGAUUCAUAUGUAUGCAACUUUUGGAGAUAUUUUGCAUGCACGGAAAGUGUUCGAUGGAAUACCUCUCAAGAAUUUGGUAUCAUGGAAUUCCAUGGUAGAUGGCUACGCAAAAUGUGGAGAUAUGGCUUUGGCAUUCGAAUUGUUUGAUUCAAUGCCUGAACAUGACGUCUUGUCGUGGAGUUCUUUGAUUGAUGGGUAUGUUAAGAGUGGGGAUUACGGCGAUGCUUUGGCAGUUUUUGAGAAAAUGAGGGUCUCGGGUCCCAAUCCCAAUGAGGUGACUAUGGUGAGUGUAUUGUGUGCUUGUGCUCACUUGGGUGCCCUUGAUAAAGGGAGGAUGAUGCAUCGUUACGUGAUUGAUAAUGGGUUGCCAUUGACUCUGGUUUUGCGCACCUCUCUUGUGGACAUGUAUGCCAAAUGCGGGGCAAUACAAGAGGCUUUCAGCGUGUUUCGUGGGGUUUCCAAGGAGCUGAGUGAUGUGUUAAUUUGGAAUGCUAUGAUUGGAGGAUUAGCAACUCAUGGUUUGGUUAAAGAAUCACUUGAUUUGUUUACAGAAAUGCAUAUUGUUGGGGUUAAGUCAGACGAAAUCACAUACUUGAGCUUGUUGAGUGCUUGUGCCCGUGGUGGGUUAGUAAAGGAAGCUUGGUAUUUCUUUGACUGUCUUCGUAAACAUGGAAUGGCUCCUAAGAGUGAGCAUUAUGCUUGUAUGGUGGAUGUUAUGGCUCGUGCUGGCCAAAUUGCAGAGGCAUACCAAUUUCUAUGUCAAAUGCCCAUCGAGCCAACAGCUUCAAUGUUAGGUGCUCUGCUAAGUGGAUGUAUGAACCACAGAAAGUUUGAUCUUGCAGAAAUGGUAGGAAGGAAACUUAUUGAGCUAGAGCCAUACCAUGAUGGCAGAUAUAUUGGCUUAUCAAAUAUUUAUGCUAUUGUGAGACGCUGGGAUAAAGCAAGAAGCACGAGAGAGGCCAUGGAGAGGAUGGGGGUGAAAAAAUCUCCUGGUUAUAGCUUUGUGGAGAUUUAUGGAGCUUUGCAUAUAUUCGUUGCACAUGAUAAAAUGCAUCCUAGUUCAGAGCAAAUAUAUAUGAUGUUAAAUUUUGUUGUAAGCCAAAUGAAGCAUACUGUUGAUUAUGAAAAUCAAGAAUAUUCUUUUGUAUGAUAAGGAAGGAGAAGAUUAAUUAUUAAUUACU
rnacentral:misc_RNA from 1 species